UACGGAGGGGGCGAGCGUUAUUCGGAAUUAUUGGGCGUAAAGGGCGCGUAGGCAGCUUGAUGUGUCAAAGGUGAAAUCCCUCGGCUCAACUGAGGAACUGCCUUUGAAACUGUCUGGCUUGAGGCCGGGAGAGGGUAGCGGAAUUCCCAGUGUAGCGGUGAAAUGCGUAGAUACUGGGAGGAACACCGGUGGCGAAGGCGGCUACCUGGACCGGUUCUGACGCUGAUGCGCGAAAGCGUGGGUAGCAAACAGG
rnacentral:rRNA from 1 species